UAGGGGGCAAGCGUUAUCCGGAUUUACUGGGUGUAAAGGGAGCGUAGACGGUGAGACAAGUCUGAAGUGAAAGCCCGGGGCUCAACCCCGGGACUGCUUUGGAAACUGCCUGACUGGAGUGCUGGAGAGGCAAGCGGAAUUCCUAGUGUAGCGGUGAAAUGCGUAGAUAUUAGGAAGAACACCAGUGGCGAAGGCAGCUUGCUGGACAGUAACUGACGUUGAGGCUCGAAAGCGUGGGGAGCAAAC
rnacentral:rRNA from 1 species